rnacentral:lncRNA from 1 species
UUUAAAACAAUAAAAAAAUUUUUGGAAAAUAUUAUUUUUUUUAUGUUUUGACGAAAAUCGGGUAUUUUAAUACUGAGCUUAUAUCCUUACGGUAUAAAAAAUACAACCCAAUAUUAGUCCACUUUGAUAAAAAUAUGCAGAAAAAUCAACAACAUUUUUAGGGACUUUUUAGAUUUUUUUUGAAAGCAAAAACAUUUUUUAUUCUGAAAAUCUUUGAUAUUUUGACGAAAACCGGGUAUUUCUAACACUGGUUUUGUAUCUUUACAGUAUAAAAAUACAAACCAAAAUUAAACCACUUUAACAAAAACAUGCAAAAAAAUCAC